CGUUCCUACGGGAGGCAGCAGUGAGGAAUAUUGGUCAAUGGGCGAGAGCCUGAACCAGCCAAGUCGCGUGAGGGAGUACUGCCCUAUGGGUUGUAAACCUCUUUUGUCGGGGAGCAAAAGCCGGACGUGUCCGGCUGUGAGAGUACCCGAAGGAAAAGCAUCGGCUAACUCCGUGCCAGCAGCCGCGGUAAUACGGAGGAUGCGAGCGUUAUCCGGAUUUAUUGGGUUUAAAGGGUGCGCAGGCGGAUUUUUAAGUCAGCGGUAAAAAUGCGGAGCUCAACUCCGUCGAGCCGUUGAAACUGCCG
rnacentral:rRNA from 1 species